UACAGAGGUCUCAAGCGUUGUUCGGAUUCAUUGGGCGUAAAGGGUGCGUAGGCGUCGCGGUAAGUCGGGUGUGAAAUCUCGGAGCUUAACUCCGAAACUGCAUUCGAUACUGCCGUGCUUGAGGACUGGAGAGGAGACUGGAAUUUACGGUGUAGCGGUGAAAUGCGUAGAUAUCGUAAGGAAGACCAGUGGCGAAGGCGGGUCUCUGGACAGUUCCUGACGCUGAGGCACGAAAGCGUGGGGAGCGAACAGG
rnacentral:rRNA from 1 species